ACGAAGUCCUCAAAUCCCCCAGAAACCCUAGGCCUCAAAUCUCAUCUGCAUCUCCUCAAUCUCCAUCUUCUUCUCCGCCGCACCCCCCAUCUCCUCGUCCGCCGCACCUCCAUCUCCUCCUCCGCCGACAGCCGCAUCGCCCACGACGCCUCCGCCGCCAUUCCGCCGCCUCUAUCUACCUAACUUCCCUCGGAUCUGCGCGCCGCUCCCUCGCUUCCCGGCGAGCGAGGAGGAGCGCGGCGAGGCGGAGCCACGCGCGGGCCUCAGCGAGCGGGAGGAGCGAGGCGGCAUGGGGCGGGUACAGAGCGGACUCGAGGCAGGCGGCCGCGACCGCUCGACCAGCGCCAGGUCCUGGCCGCCGCCGCCAUCCUGCACGACCUCCAGAUCUGGUCCGGCGGCUCGGGCGCACGGCACCCGACGCGCCGCCGCCUCGACGUGCUCCCUGACGCGCCACGCAGCAUCCUCGAAGCUCCUCUGCUCUUCCUGGCGCCCAGGGUCUGUCCCGUCCUCCCACUGGCCCACUGCUGGUCACCAGCCCCGCCGCAACCAGCCCUGCAUGUGCUUGUCCCCGCCGCGUCGGUUGUUAAAUCGCCUGGUUUUUGCAGAAAUAAGGAUUCUUGUGGUUUAUCAAGAUGUGUGAAGAAGAAAUUGAGUUACUGUGUUUGCUUAAGGUGGCAAAGCAGGAUCUGGUACGGGAGUAUGAUUAUGUGUUAGAAGCAAGUAACAAGAAGCGUUACAAAGAAUUGCUAUCCUGUGUUCGUUCCAGGCUGACGUGAUCAUGUCCAGAUUGAACAUUGCUGAAUACUGGAAAUAAGGCGAUCAACCAACACUCCUGAUCACGUCAGAGAAAAGCCAAUCACCAAGGAAGAAGCAUGCCAAUUCAUGAAAGGCUAUUCUGGUGGUCAUGUGUCAACUGUUGGGUGUGUAGUUGUAGCUACUCUGGUGCUUCCUGUUUACAUGUUUAGAAUAAAUUACUAGAACUCCUUUUCUAUGGCUGAGGAUCAUAUGCAAGGAACACCUUGGUAUCCAGAAUGAACACCUGCUGUACAUGCAGCAAGAAGUAUACUAACUUGGAGGACAAACUUGAGCAUUUGAUGGGUCAAAAUCAAGUUAACUAGACAUGAUGCUAUGCUAUUUUUUGUUGGAACUUGUGCAGUUGAAACUUGUCUUCUGUUGUUUUUGGAGCUAGUGCCCUGGGAAUUUUUGUACUGUUAUGAGGCCAUUGCUAGGGGGCUGGUAAUUUUUGUACUGCUGGGUGCUGCAUUUUGGUUAAUUUGGUACUGUGGUUCAAAUUAAAAUUUUGGUAAAUUUGGUACUGAUAAAUUUGUCA